ensembl:snRNA U1 U1 spliceosomal RNA
AUACUUAACCUGGCAGGGGAGAUACCAUGAUCACAAAAGUGGAUUUCCCAGGGCAAGGCUUAUCCAUUGCCCUCUGGUGUGCUGACUUCUGCAAACGUCCCAAAUGUGAGACUGCAUAAUUUGUGGGAGUGGGGGACGGUUUUCAGGUUUUCACACUCUCCUCUG